GACAGAGGGUGCAAACGUUGUUCGGAAUUACUGGGCGUAAAGCGCGUGUAGGCGGUCGCGCAAGUCGGGUGUGAAAGCCCGGGGCUCAACCCCGGAAGUGCAUUCGAUACUGCGCGGCUAGAGUACCGGAGAGGGUGGUGGAACUCUCGGUGUAGAGGUGAAAUUCGUAGAUAUCGAGAAGAACACCGGUGGCGAAGGCGGCCACCUGGACGGAUACUGACGCUGAGACGCGAAAGCGUGGGGAGCAAACAGG
rnacentral:rRNA from 1 species